rnacentral:rRNA from 1 species
AGUGAACGCUGGCGGCAGGCUUAACACAUGCAAGUCGAGCGGGCACUCUCGGGUGUCACUGGCGGAAGGGUGAGUACGGCGUGGGAACGUACCCUCUGGUUCGGAAUAUCUCAGGGAAACUUGAGUUAAUACCGGAUAAGCCCUUUUGGGGAAAGGCUUGCUGCCGGAGGAUCCGAACGCGUCUGAUUAGCUUGUUGGUGCGGUAACGGCUCACCACGGCGACGAUCCGUAGUUGGUCAGAGAGGAAGAUCCGCCACACUGAGGCUGAGACGCAGCCCGGACUCCUACGGGAUGCAGCAGUGGGGAAUAUAGCACAGUGGGGGCAAGGCUGAUGCAGCCAUGCCGCGUGAAUGAUGAAGUCCGUGAAGAUGUAAAGCUCUUUUAUCCGGGACGAUAAUGACGGUACCGGAGGAAUAAGCCCCGGCUAACUUCGUG